rnacentral:lncRNA from 1 species
GUGCUAUUUUUUUUUCUUUUUCUUUUUUUUUAAUUAUUGUGGCAAAAGGCACAUAACAUGAGAUCUACCCUGUUAGCAAAUUUUUGAGUGUACAGUUUGGUAUUAUUACCUAUAAGUACAAUCCUGUUCGACAGGUCUCUGGAACUUUCUGACCUUGCAUGAUGGAAACUCUGGACCUACGGAACAGCAAUUCUCCAUUUCCUCUCCCCCAGCACCUUUGAGAAUGUGCUAUUUUCUGAUAUUCAUAGCUUUAGGAAAGAUCUUCAUAUUAACAAUAUUUUAAAGUGCAGGAUUCCAGCAACUUGGGGUGGGGUUGGGGUGUCAGACUUCUUCCUUGCUGCUCCCUCCCUCACAGGAUCCGGCGGGGGCUGCUGUCCCCACAGGGUCUCUGGCUGAACGUGAAGCAUGGCGCUACUUUACCCAUAGCUGGGCAAGCCACGAUUCUCACUGAUCCCUGGUCAAUGCUGCAUUCAACAAUUGGGGUUAAUGAUUAAGCAAAGUUAAGAGAAUUAAGCAUGGCUUUCUGCUUCCUAUUUUUUCCCCACCAUGCGCAGAGGUUAUCUAGGGCAACCGGUGAUAAGAGGCCAAACUCCGUCCACUCCCCGCAGACCUCCUCAUCUGCGAAACGCCACGUCAUCAGGCCACCCACCAAAACAACUUACGGCAGGCAGGAAGUAGAGGAGCGGUGAGCAGACGGCUGUGUUUCUCUUUUAGGGGCAGCGUCCUACCCACUACCAGUGCCUGGCCCGAGAGCGUAACCCCUGCACUGGCACGUCAGCCGGCGUGGCAGGGGUGGGGCGGCUCGGCACAGACCUCGGGGAAGAACACGAAUGGGUCCCUGCCUCAAAUCUUGUUACGGACAAGGAUGAAGGGGAUGAAGAAGAUAAAAGUAUGCUGCAAAAUUAGAGGCAAAUACUUCACCCCGUGGAGUCCAUAUGUAUAUACACAGAAGCAGUGCUGCAACACAGGGAUGCACGCCUUCCCGGUUCGCAGAGUGCUUGCCGCUGAUAACCUGACACCAUCCUAACAGACAUGUAAGCAAGACUCCUGGUGACCGGGAAGGGCAGUAUGGGAACACGACUGGAGUAAUCAAGCUGGCCUACAGCGCAGAAAUCUCCGGCGGAUUUUAUAUUCCAAAGGAAUCUUGAGGAUAAAACCGAAGAAAGUAUUUUUCUUUCUCUUAGGAAAGAGAGGGCAGAUCUUUCCUUAAUUUUUUAGUAUUGAUGCCUUAGGAACUAUUUCAUGUUAAAAAAAUGCUACCCCAUUUCAAAGAAUUGAAUAUUUACAAAUAUCUAAUAUUUACCUUUUCAAUUUUUAAUAAAGUGUUUAACCACCUGAUUGUAAAUGGCCAUCUAUUGAAGUUCUACUUUUGAUCCUACAAUUGGGGGUGAAAAUUCCCAUGGACAAGUCUCUUCGGGACAAGGGUAUAUGUAUUAUUACAGAGAUAUGAAAUCUUUCUCAAUAUUUGCCUCCUGCAUUAAUUCAACAAAUUUUUAUUACUAAAAACCUACUAUGUACAAGGUAUUUCCUUAAUUUCCCAGUCACUUAAAGAAGCACAGGUCUUUGUCUCUAGCCUUGGAGAGAAUUUUCAUGCAAUCCCUAAAACCACACCAAGGAAGACCAGGGAGAAGGCAGAGGCUGCUAGACAAAAGGACAAAGACCUCAAGAGUGAAGGGGGCAUGUUGAAUUUAGAUCUGAAGGGAGUCAGUCCAAAUCUGUCACUCUAGUUACGAAGAAAUGGAAGCAGAGAGAAGCUAAAGGAUUUAUCUAGAAUGCACUAAAUAGAGUGAGGAUGCACUAGCAGCAGAAGUUUUGGGGGGGUUUGCAAUGGCCCUGGAAACUGUAGUUGGAGAAGAACACUGACAUGCGCAAAAGAGGACUGGACAUGGAUUCAUCAGCAAACAGCCCGGCCUCUGUCUCUUCACUCUCGGAGCCCAACGGGUCCCUUCGGCGCUUCCCCAGGCUGGACGUGGAGACCUCCCUCGCAUAAGCCUUGGCACGUGUGGAUGCCAUGAGAUCUGCUGUGGCUUUUGCUCAUUUGGGGCACUUUGUCUCUAACUGACUGAAAUUGAUGAUUCCUCCUUGUUUAUAUCUAACACUCUCGCCUUCAUCAAAUGGCUAUCAGCAAACGCAGUUUUAAUCAGGACAUUCUCCAACUCACCAAACACACGCACACACAACUCUAAAGAUUUAUAUUGUCAACAAUAAAUUUCAACUUUCUUUGCUAGCCAUUCAAGAGCUCUGCAAUUUAGUCUCAAAUCCCAUGUCUGCCUUAUCAAAUUGACAUACCUAUGUGACUUUUAUUCUGUUCAGGACUAAAAAAGUGACCCCCUGCUGGUUCUAUUAGGCUGCUUUCUAUCUUUUCUUUUGUUCCAGACAUUUUGCCUACCUGCAUCACCUUUUCUCUUCUUACCAAUUUCUGUCAACAUUUUACCACUCUUGCAACCACAACGUGAGCACCAGCCUUCUUUACAGAACUUCUGUGAAUCCCUGUCCCCUUCUGAGCCGUUACCUGUGGUGCGUGUGACUAUGUUGCUUUAAAGCCACUGGCCACACUCUUUGGCGUAUUGGAAUUAUUUAGGGGCUCAUGCGGGAAACCUCCAAACUAUGAAUCAGGUCUAAUCACAAAAACUUACAUGCAGGAUAGGAUGUAGCUCCCCAAACAAAACUUUUUUGAAAGACUGAUUGAUUAAAUGAAUUAAAAUACUUGCCACUCUAUGUUCCCUUUCUCAGUUCUUUGUACACAGGUUAAAUAAAACUUCCACUGAGAUGUGAUCAUAGAGGGCUAAUAUAAGGCAUAUGGAUGCAGUUCUUUUAUUUGGAUGUAUAAUUAUUGAGAAGUAGAUUUCAAUAAUAUUAUAAUAAAUCAUAAUUAUUUUCUGGCCAUUAGUCUACAAAAUGAAAGAUUUUAUUUUUUGAAUGUACAUUAUGAUGGGGGGAAAAGCCUUUUGAAUAAUUUUAAACCUCUCUUUCUAAAACCUAUAUCAAGACAUUAAAAGAACUUGUAACCCAAGUUAACAACCCCCCAAUUUUCAGGGCCACUGUUUAAAAGUGGGUUUCAAUAAUUGCCUUGCUUCUUUCACUUGAAGCUAAAUAACACGAGAAAACAUACUAGAAGAAACCAAAUGUUCAGUCACUGGAAAUAACCUUUACCAUAAAAAAAUAACAUAAAAGCUUAAGGGUAAAUUUAUUCCUCAUCUCAGGAACUAGAAAUCCAGUUUCAAAUGUACACAGUAGUUUCAAGCUCUGCUGAGCCAGAGUUAUCCCAUUAAUUAUGGAUGACAUUAUGUUUUAAACAAAUACAAAUUGUUUUGCCCUCACCUUUAGAUGCUCCUGAAGCAAAUGUUUUAUUCCCAGCGAGAAUCAUUUUGCACAGCUCAGGUCCUUGAAUUAUUAGAAAAACUGCAG